rnacentral:rRNA from 1 species
GACAGAGGUGCCGAGCGUUAGGCGGAAUCACUGGGCUUAAAGCGUGUGUAGGCGGGCGGGCAAGUACCUUGUGAAAUCCCACGGCUCAACCGUGGAACGGCUGGGUAUACUGCCUGUCUUGAGCCAACUAGGGGCGAGCGGAACAGACGGUGGAGCGGUGAAAUGCGUAGAGAUCGGGAGGAACACCAGUGGCGAAGGCGGCACCCUGGACCAGCACUGACACUGAGGCACGAAAGCGUGGGGAGCAAACAGG